rnacentral:rRNA from 1 species
CAGUCGCCGCGGUAAUACGAAGGGUGCAAGCGUUACUCGGAAUUACUGGGCGUAAAGCGUGCGUAGGUGGUGGUUUAAGUCCGAUGUGAAAGCCCUGGGCUCAACCUGGGAAUUGCAGUGGAUACUGGGUCACUAGAGUGUGGUAGAGGAUAGUGGAAUUUCCGGUGUAGCAGUGAAAUGCGUAGAGAUCGGAAGGAACAUCUGUGGCGAAGGCGACUAUCUGGGCCAACACUGACACUGAGGCACGAAAGCGUGGGGAGCAAACAGGAUUAGAUACCCGUGUAGUCCCUGUCUCUUAUAC